AGUUUAAAUCAUUGCAUGAUACAUAUCAUAAAAUAAUACAAUCAGAAAAAGAAUGAGUGAAUCUGCUAGGAGGGAUACAGUCCAAAAGUGGGCUCAUUAUCAUUCCAUGAGUUUCCUCAGAGACUCUUGUUUUCUAAAAACCACUGUGUCUAAUAUAAAUAGUAGUGAUGUCGAUUCAAGCUCAUCAUUAACGAAUGAUGAAAAAUAAAUGCAGGAAACAU